rnacentral:RNase_P_RNA from 8 species
CUUGUACGCUAGACAAUCGCUGUUGGCCGCCUUCGCUCUUUGAGCAUGUGUUGGCCGAUAGAGGAAAGUCCGAGCACUAAUCCCUGAGCAUUGCGAGGGCUUGUCCUGAGCUUGUCGAAGGGAAAAACGGUAGCGGGUAACGCCCGUCGGAAGUGAUUCCAGAGGUGCGAGCAGAGACGUCCCGAGUCGAAAGAUGAGGGAAAGCAAACCCAAGGUUUUCUUAAUCAAAUUAUGGAAACCGAGCUUAUUUCCGAUCGGGGGUGAAAAGAUCGGGAGUGAAACGGCUAAAUCCUUACCGGAGUGCAAGGCCAGCGCUGUGUUCUGCGAAGCUUUAAGCGCAGCAGAAUGCUUCGAAAAGUUAGGCCGCUACAGGUUGAUAGUAAUAUCAAUCGCAGAUAAAUGAUUGUCCCGCCUCUCGGGGCGACAGAACUCGGCUUAUUGCGUGCAGGGACA